rnacentral:tRNA from 1 species
AGUAAAAUGGCUGAGUUAGGUAUUAAAUUGUAAAUUUAAUUAUGGAUUUUAUCCUUUUACU